AGCAGCCACGGGAAUACGUAGGGCGCAAGCGUUAUCCGGAAUUAUUGGGCGUAAAGAGCUCGUAGGCGGUUUGUCGCGUCUGCCGUGAAAGUCCGGGGCUCAACCCCGGAUCUGCGGUGGGUACGGGCAGACUAGAGUGAUGUAGGGGAGACUGGAAUUCCUGGUGUAGCGGUGAAAUGCGCAGAUAUCAGGAGGAACACCGAUGGCGAAGGCAGGUCUCUGGGCAUUAACUGACGCUGAGGAGCGAAAGCAUGGGGAGCGAACAGGAUUAGAUACCCCCGUAGUCCCUGUCUCUUAUACA
rnacentral:rRNA from 1 species